GUCUACGGCCAUACCACACUGAACACGCCUGAUCACGUCGGAUCUCGGAAGCUAAGCAGGGUUGGGCAGGGUUAGUAGGGGCCAGCCCAGUGGCAUAGCAGUUACGUGUGCA
rnacentral:rRNA from 1 species